GGGCGCAUAGCUCAGUCGGUAGAGCAGCUGACUCUUAAUCAGCGGGUCCAAGGUUCGAGUCCUUGUGCGCCCACCA
rnacentral:tRNA from 2 species